CAAUAGCGUAUAUUAAAGUUGUUGCGGUUAAAAAGCUCGUAGUUGGAUUUCUGCCGAGGACGACCGGUCCGCCCUCCGGGUGAGUAUCUGGUUUGGCCUGGGCAUCUUCUUGGAGAACGUAGCUGCACUUGACUGUGUGGUGCGGUGUCCAGGACUUUUACUUUGAGGAAAUUAGAGUGUUUCAAGCAGGCACACGCCUUGAAUACAUUAGCAUGGAAUAAUAAGAUAGGACCUCGGUUCUAUUUUGUUGGUUUCUAGAGCUGAGGUAAUGAUUAAUAGGGAUAGUUGGGGGCAUCCGAAUUUAGCCGUCAGAGGUGAAAUUCUUGGAUCAGCUAAAGACGGACGACUGCGAAAGCGUUUGCCCAAGAUGUUUUCAUUGA
rnacentral:rRNA from 1 species